rnacentral:lncRNA from 1 species
GUUAUUUCGCAGAGGUCCACCGUUUCCUUCCAUCUUGAGGAAACCAGGAGAGCGACCCAGACGAUUGGAAAUCUCUCGAAGAGUGUCCUUUUCCAAGGACGUCUCAGAAGGGUCGUCGGAGUCCCUCCAUCGUCGACUGCGUUUCAACGCCGCCCCGCCGGGAAGGACACUCCGAAAAAAACAG